GAAAGUUGUGACCUCUGAGCUUCUCUCAACUCGUCUUCCUCUCUCCCACGAACUCAACGGCGGCGGUGGCUCUUUCUCUCCGAUCAAAUCAUCGCGCCGGUGAAAGCUUCACGGCGGCGGAAUCUCAGCUUUCUCAUUGCGCAAAUCUCUCGUCUCUGUUUCAGUUCUCAAACUCUCUCGAUCUCUUUCCGCUCAAUCCCGUGGCUCUCUCAUCUUCUCCGACGUCUCAAUCUCAUAGCUCCGAUGCCUUUCGCUUGCUCUCUCAAUCUCUCUCCGACUCUGUUCCGAAUCGUUGUCGGUAUGAUGACGGCGAGUGCUUCUGGUGGUGAUUGAAGAAUGGAUCGAUGAUGAUGAAGACGUUCUUGCCUCUGAAGUUUGGUUACAAAUUUGGUAGGGGUGAGUUUCCUUUUCCUUUUGUUAUGCGAUAUUGUUGCGAGCGAAAUGGAUAGUGAAUGAGAUGCCGAACGAUAGCAUAGAGGAUUUGAGGAGUUUUUGCUUGUUGAUGUUCUUGCUGCGCUUCUUUGGUUUCUGCAGGUUUCCUUGACGAGAUGGUGAUGAUUGAAGUUCUUUCAGAUUCAAGGUAAUUGGAUGAAGAUGAGAGGAUGAGGUGAAGAUUGGCGCGAAGCUUUUUGUGGAUUUUCUAGGGAAAUCGUGAAGAGAAGUGGAUGAAGAUUCAAGGUAAUUGAAUGAAAAUGGAGGUGAUAUGUGAAGUAGAGGAAGAUGAAGGUGGUGAAUGGAAGAUGAAUGAUGAUGAGAGAGAAUGAAGAUGGAUUUCAUGGAUAAUGAAUCCAGAGGCUUUGAAGUGUGAAUGAUGCUGCUAUAUAUCAGGUGCUUAUAAUGCUUUCACAAGGCUGGCUGUAAGUUCAUGGAAGCAAUUCGUGAGCGAUGCUUUGGCAAAGUUCGGAAGAAGAUCGACAUGAAGUUUUAGGAUCAAAGAAGGACAUAGGUUUAGAAAUUUUAGAAUUUAGGAAUUUGAUGUAAUGGGAAUGAUCGAAGUUGUAAUGAACAAAACUUUCCCUCUUUGAGUGAAUUCCCAUACUUUUCUAAA